rnacentral:rRNA from 1 species
UGUGCAACCCGAAACCCAGUCAGCCUGCCAGUGAUAAACUUAAACGGCCGCGGUACCCUAACCGUGCAAAGGUAGCGCAAUCACUUGUUCUUUAAAUGAGGACUAGUAUGAACGGCAUCACGAGGGUUAUGCUGUCUCCCUACUCUAAUCAGUGAAACUAAUCUCCCCGUGAAGAAGCGGGGAUAAAAAUAUAAGACGAGAAGACCCCAUGGAGCUUUAAACUCAGUAUCAAGUGCCCUACCUAAUAUCCUGAUAUCUUGCAACUUCUGACUACUAGUUUUCGGUUGGGGUGACCACGGAGUAAAAACCAACCUCCACGAUGAAAGGAAAUUAAAACCUAAACCAUGAGCUACAGCUCUAAGUAUCAACAAAUUGACUAAUUGAUCCAAUUUUUUGAUCAACGAACCAAGUUACCCUGGGGAUAACAGCGCAAUCCAUUUCAAGAGCUCAUAUCGACAAAUGGGUUUACGACCUCGAUGUUGGAUCAGGGUAUCCCAGUGGCGCAGCCGCUACUAACGGUUCGUUUGUUCAACGAUUAAAACCCUACGUGAUCUGAGUUAAAAACGAAA